GACGAACGCUGGCGGCGUGCUUAACACAUGCAAGUCGAACGGAAAGGCCCUGCUUUUGUGGGGUGCUCGAGUGGCGAACGGGUGAGUAACACGUGAGUAACCUGCCCUUGCCUUUGGGAUAACUUCAGGAAACUCGGGCUACUACCGGAUAGGAGCUCCUGCUGCAUGGUGGGGGUUGGAAAGUUUCGGCGGUUGGGGAUGGACUCGCGGCUUAUCAGCUUGUUGGUGGGGUAGUGGCUUACCAAGGCUUUGACGGGUAGCCGGCCUGAGAGGGGGACCGGCCACAUUGGGACGGAGAUCCGGCCCAGACUCCUACGGGAGGCAGCAGUGGGGAAUAUUGCACAAGGGGCGGAAGCCUGAUGCAGCAACGCCGCGUGCGGGAUGACGGCCUUCGGGUUGUAAACCGCUUUCGCCUGUGACGAAGCGUGAGUGACGGUAAUGGGUAAAGAAGCACCGGCUAACUACGUG
rnacentral:rRNA from 1 species